rnacentral:rRNA from 1 species
CUUAACACAUGCCAGUCGAGCGGGGAAGGGUAGCUUGCUACCUGACCUAGCGGCGGACGGGUGAGUAAUGCUUAGGAAUCUGCCUAUUAGUGGGGGACAACAUUCCGAAAGGAAUGCUAAUACCGCAUACGCCCUACGGGGGAAAGCAGGGGAUCUUCGGACCUUGCGCUAAUAGAUGAGCCUAAGUCAGAUUAGCUAGUUGGUGGGGUAAAGGCCUACCAAGGCGACGAUCUGUAGCGGGUCUGAGAGGAUGAUCCGCCACACUGGGACUGAGACACGGCCCAGACUCCUACGGGAGGCAGCAGUGGGGAAUAUUGGACAAUGGGCGAAAGCCUGAUCCAGCCAUGCCGCGUGUGUGAAGAAGGCCUUUUGGUUGUAAAGCACUUUAAGCGAGGAGGAGGCUACUUGGAUUAAUACUCUAGGAUAGUGGACGUUACUCGCAGAAUAAGCACCGGCUAACUCUGUGCCAGCAGCCGCGGUAAUACAGAGGGUGCGAGCGUUAAUCGGAUUUACUGGGCGUAAAGCGUGCGUAGGCGGCUUUUUAAGUCGGAUGUGAAAUCCCUGAGCUUAACUUAGGAAUUGCAUUCGAUACUGGGAAGCUAGAGUAUGGGAGAGGAUGGUAGAAUUCCAGGUGUAGCGGUGAAAUGCGUAGAGAUCUGGAGGAAUACCGAUGGCGAAGGCAGCCAUCUGGCCUAAUACUGACGCUGAGGUACGAAAGCAUGGGGAGCAAACAGGAUUAGAUACCCUGGUAGUCCAUGCCGUAACGAUGUCUACUAGCCGUUGGGGCCUUUGAGGCUUUAGUGGCGCAGCUAACGCGAUAAGUAGACCGCCUGGGGAGUACGGUCGCAAGACUAAAACUCAAAUGA